GGGUGAGUCGGGAGUCGCUGCCUCGGGGUCCCAGGUCUGGUUCUAGACAGUUUUUUUCUUUCUUCCCCCGAGGAAAAGGGAAACAGAAGGCGGUGUUUUGUUUCCGUUUCUGAGACUGAAAAGAAGGGAAGCAACCUAAUUAAACGGGCAGAAGAUUUGAGUGGACAUCAAGGAAGAUACAAAGUUUCCAUCAUCACAUUUCUGUAGAGGCCUCUCUGAGCAGGACACAGGCGGUCCCAUUCAUCCUGGGAGAGGAGCACAGCCACAUCCUCGAAGGUCAACUUGGCCUGGAAUGACAGGGGCUGCUGCAGAUAAAAGGUUUCAGUUUCCUGGAACAAGCCUGAAACCAGGCCAGGCAAACACCAUGGGCCUCAACCUAAACCUUGCAUACUCAAGCAGGAAAACGUAAGAGCUGUCUGGGGUGACAGAAACUGGCUUUUAACAACACACUCCAUCCACACUUCGCGGGAUUCUGAGGUCCAACUCCAGGCUUUGCUCCAUGAGAACACACUUCAGGCAGGGAGAGAGCGUGAUGUGGACCGUUUUUAAAAAUUAAAAGACAGGCUCAUGACGAGUCCUCUAUAGAUGCCAGGCUCCAAGGCCAGGGGCUGGGACAGGCUGGAAAUCACCGCCAUCGAAUACUGGAAGUGGAAUUUGAGGACCCCCCUCUUGAGGCCAUGCCAACAGCUAACAAAUGGGCAAUAUAAAGAACACCCACUCAGGGCACUGGCUGAGCAACGAUCCCACCCACCCACUGGUCACAAAGGUGGCAGCAUGAAGAGUUAUCAAACUCAGGAAUUUCAAUUUUGAAAAUUUUCCUAAGGAAUAAUCCAAAACAAAAACAAUAGAUCAAUGUUGUUAACAGCAACUGGCUUUCCAGUUUUCUUUAGGUGAUCGAAAGCCACAUCGCAGUGAGACACUCCUAUCACUCUUUUUGGAACUCCUGACUGUCUUGAUGUGACAAAGCAGUAUGCCUGUCAUUCCAGAGGACCCUGAACAUGGUGACACACUGGGACAGGCAGAUUUGGAGUCUCCUGGUCUGGGGUGAGCUGCCAGGAUCUCCUCCAGAGCCACUGCCUUCUCUUGCUUCUCAUCAUCCUUACUCCCUGGACUUCCUGCUAACAAGCACUGCUCCCUCUUCAUCACCAAGGAGCCCCUACCCCCAGGGUGAAAGCACUUUCAAGAGAGGCAGCUUCUGAGUCACCUGUGAGCACAAGGCAAAACACUGCUAAACUUAACCUAAUCUAAACUAACUAACCUAAACUAACCCUAACCUGCAACCUUUCCAGAAUUAAUGAUCAGAAAUAUGUAUCCAAAUUGAUAGCUUUCUCACUGAGCACAGUGGCUCAUGCCUGUAAUGCCAGCACUUUGGGAGGCCAGGGUGGGUGGAUCACCUGAGGUCAGGAGUUCAAGACCAGCC